rnacentral:lncRNA from 1 species
AGCAACCCUUCUGGGUCCCCUUCCACCACGCAGAAGCUUUACUUUCGCUUUCACUUUACUUUUGCUUUCACUUUAACAAAUCUUGCAGCCGCACACUCUUUGGGUCCGCCCGUUUCUCUAAUCAAGUUGUAACACUCGCUGCUGUGGUCCACAGCUUCAUUCCUUGAAGCCCGUGAGACACGAACGCUUCCAUUGAGAAAAACCUUCCAUCAGAAGAAGACUUCUCGUCUCAGUGGGACUGCUGAGUUGAAUGGAUGACCUUUGUUUGUUUAAACUGUUGGAAAAUCAAUAUUUAAAAUGAAAUCUAGAAACUGAAGUGUGCCCUCUGCAGGAUCACCAGAAUGAUGGGAAAACUGAACACAAUCAACUCAUGAACUCCCCAAGGUCAGAGGUUUGGUCUAAUUCAAUAACUAAUAUCUAGAAGGUAUUCUAGAAAAAUGCAUGUUAACAGAGUGAGCAAAAGUAACAGUCAAAGAAACCCAGGAAUCACAUUUCAUGCCUAUAUUAGUCUGUUCUCACACUGCUAGUAAAGACAUAACUGAGACUGGGUAAUUUAUAAAGGAAAGAUGUGUAAUUAAUUCAUAGUUCCACAUGGCUGGGGAGGCCUCAUCAUCAUGGCAGAAGGCAAAAAUGAAGCAAGACACGUCUUACAUGGCAGCAGGCAAGACAGCGUGUGCAGGGGAACUGCCCUUUAUAAAACCAUCACAUCUCAUGAGACUUACUAUCACAAAAACAGCAUGGAAAAACUCCCUCCCAUGAGUCAGUUACCUCCCACCAGAUCCCGCCCAUGACACAUGAGGAUUAUGGGGGCUACAAUUCAAGAUGAGAUUUGGGUGCAGACACAGCCAAAUCAUAUCAUAUCCUCUGUUUUCCAAAGAUCUUAUAUAAUUUAGUUCUACUUUAGAAAAAUUAAUCCAAUGAUAGUUGGCAGUAUAUACAGUUGUGUAAAAGAUGGGUAAUUUUUUGCAUACUCGUAAGAGUUCAGAAAAUUAAGAUAUAAGCUAUUGGUUAAGAGAGGGAAUAGCCUCUCUCAUUAUGACAAAAAUUAAUAGUUGAUUAUUUUUUUCAUAUAUGAUAAAAAUCUUAGUCCAUAUGUGUUUCAAUUUAAAAGACAUGAGAAGAUAAUAUGAUUUUUCCUCCAAAGUUGACUGGUUGGCUAUUAGACUGCAAAUCUCAUAAUAUAAUUACCUUGGUGGAAACAUAGUAAUUUAAAUAUUGGACAUUAGAUUUGCAGGUGCAGGAAAUCAAUUGUGUCAAUAUACAAAAAUUUUAUUAUACUAUUACAAUGAUUCACACUAAAAAUAUUUGGCGGGGAUUGAUAUAUAAAUAUACAUGGCAAUGUAUUAAUUUAUAAUGGUGGUGAUUUCUCUAACUACCUUCACCCCAGCUAUAUAUCAUAUAGUCAUAGUUGGAAACCACCGAGGAGGGUCACUCCAGCUGAGAGAGUCAAACUGUCAAGUCCCUACACUCUGACAUCACCCUGCUCAAAAGGGUUCUCCAUCUGCCGUUGCUCUCUUUUCUAUCGGUCAAUGCCUCAUGUAUAAGGAAACAUGAUCUUCUAUCAUUUACUGUACUGUUCUUCUCAAUGUUCUGCACUUGCUUUUUUUGGACUCAGCUGUCUACCAUAUCCUCAUCUUCAAAACUUUCCCACAGUAUUUUCUAGAACUAUCCAUCUAGAAUAAUAAUAAUAAUAAUAAAACCUAUCUUCAACUUCUACAUUGCCUGCCAUAAGUGAAACUUGACUCAUCUGAAGAUAUCACCUGUACUGUUUCCCUCUUAAUGCUGGUUGCUUAUUUUCGGACACACACACACACCCCUGGAUGGUGAGGUGGUAUUUCUGAACUCCCUAAACUGCAGUGGCACUUCUAGCAAUGAGACACCAUUCUCUUGUAAAACUAACAAAAAACACAUGCACAUACUGUAUUGGUUUGUUUUCAAAUUGCUAUAAAGAAAUACCUGAGACUGGGUAAUUUAUUAAAAAAAAAAAAAGAGGUUUCAUUGGCUCACGGUUCUGUAGCCUGUAUAGGAAGCACAGCAGCUUUUGCUUCUAGGGAGGCCUCAGGAAACUUACAAUCAUGGUGGAAAGCAAAGCGGAAGCAGGCACAUCUUAUAUGGCUGGAGUAGGAGCAAGGUGGUACAGAUGGAGCCACAUACAUGUAAACAGCCAGAUCUCUUGAGAACUCAUUCACCAUACAGUACCAAGAAGGGAUGGUGCUAAACCAUUCAUGAGAACUCUGCCUCCAUGAUCCAGUCCCCACGUCCAAAAAUUUGACUUAAGAUUUGGUGGGACACUAAUCCAACUCACCUACACACACACACACACACUCUCACACUAAACACAUUUGAGAUUCAUUUGAGAUUCAUGAAAUUUCACUAUACAAUUCCAACUGCUUUCUUACUGCUAUCAUCUAACUUCUGGUAAUUGGUUCACUAACAUAUCUUCAUCCAAAUUCUGUCACUGCCAUCCUUCAUGACGUAUGAACCCUCUAUGCUUAACAUACUUGUCUCCGAAGAAUCUGUCCUCUGCCCUGUCGUACAUCCGUAUCUCUCACACUAUGAAUUUUGUUAUAAAUGCAGAUUAUCUCUACUACAGAAUUGCUAAUUCAGUUAUUACACUCUCUGAGUACAACUUGCUUUCCUAGCUAUGGUCAUUUCUGUACUUCAGUGAGAGUCCCAGUUCAUGGCAUUUCCAAAUUCGUAGAGUUCUUUAGGCGUCUCAUUUUUGUUAUCAACAUUACUUUCUAAUCAUAAAUCUUGUUCAGAAUUUCUUGUUAACAACUUCUUUUCAUCAUUAUAUCAAAAGUGUCAAUUCUUCUCCGCGUAUUUUCAAACUUGAACUCAGCCUCCCAGUUCCCAGCCAAAGAACAAUCUUAUCUCUUCACAUAGAAAAUAUGAUAUCACCCUCAAUUUCUGCUUCCACCUAUACAAACCUAUCUACACUUACCUCUAUUUUGUCCUGCUUCCUUCUGCUUAAGCAUAGGUACUUGGGGACUGUUUCCUCUCACAUUCAAAGAAAUCUUUUCUUAUGUGAGUUCUCCAUUAUCUCCUAUCUAUUCGUCAACAUUCUCACAUUAAGAUCCUAAUUGUUCCAAGGAAAAUGUUUCUGCUUUUUUAGCUUUAUGGAUUUUCUACGUUGAUUCAUUUUCAUGUAAAUAGAAAGUGUGGGCUAAACUUUUAUCUACCUUAUUGAAUAUUAAGUAAACUAAAAUGCUUAAAAAGCGAUUUUUCAUACCGAAGAACUAAACUUUUCUCUGUACUUGGACACUUUGAUAAAUCAUAAUUGGUAGUUUACAGAUGGGAAGCUUACUUGCAAAUGUUCUAAAGAUGAAUGCUUCCUUUUGUAUGACAUUUUGAUAUAAAUUAAGAUCCAUGUGUUUCAUAUAUUGCUGAAAAAAAAAUAGUGUUAAAACAAUACUUCCUCUGCUGAAUAUAUGUGAAACUAUAUCUUUGAUUAGUGAUUCUGUCUCCUCUUCCACAGCAAAAAAUAACCCUCAAAUUUCUGUAAUUCUUUCCUGCUUCCUUUGCUUCUGCUAUGAAUGUUUUCUUAUGACACUGGAAAAAGUUUUAGUAGCUAACUAUAUAUAUUCACAUACAUACAUAUGUGUGUAUAUGUAUAUCUAUAUAUAUGUGCAUAUCAUGUGUACAUAUUUAUACAUACACAUUUAUAUCACAAUGACAGUAGAUAUAGCAUUAUAUGGCUCCUCUCCCACCUGUUAUUUUAGGAGCAGCUGUAAUUCUUAAAUAAGCGUUUAUUCUAUUGAUGUCCCCAGAGGUUGUCCCCAUUUGCGCCCAGGAACUCAUUCCUUACCCGUAAUGUAGCAUCUGCUGCUAUUUUUGUUUCUUAUUUUUCCUGUGAGGAGAUGCUGCAGGAACUACAGACCCAGGAAAUCAACUGUUAUGACUGACUCUCAAUUAAAAUCAGUGCCUGCCUCUGAGCUAUUGAUGAUUCUAAAAAGUACAGCAUCCACUACCAUUACUUCCUUAUGUAUAAGGUGCUUUUUUUUCUGAAGCUUUGGUAGUGUAACUGUAAGAGUCCUGGAAUUGGAAAAGCAAAUCCAGAAGUUGAGUUCCAUGACUUUUUUGCUGUUUGCCUUUGGCUGAAUCCAAGAAGAGAAGCCCUUGAAGAGUGUAUUCUAUUCUAGACAAGCAUUCACACAUUGGCUUCUUUGGUGCCAGGUAAUUAGAAUUUGUAAUUUGGUCUUAAUUAAACUGCAGACUACCCAAAGGCCUUGAUCAGUGGCCUUUUGACUGCCUCCACCGUUUGGAGGAAACAAACAAAACACAAAUUAGCCUUUAAAAAUAUGCCCAUUGAUUUCUCCUCAUCUCCCCAAACAUAUACAACCCCACCAGAUAUAUAUUUAUAUUGGCUAUAAAAAUAUGCCCAUUGAUUUCUCCUCAUCUCCCCAAACAUAUACAACCCCACCAGAUAUAUAUUUAUAUUGGGUAUAAUGUCAACAUAUAUCAAAUGUGCCAAUUAAACACAGAGCUCCUCUAAACUACCAAGCAUGUUAUUAUUAUUAUUUUAAUUUUUAAAACAUUUCUAACUUAACAGAAACAUUGGCCGGGCAGCACUAAUUGUAUCAUUCCUAUGUACUACCAACUUCUCACCAGUAUUGAACUUGAUCUUCAAAACUCUUCCCAGAUAGGGCUAUUUUUCCACUGACUCUAUUGUUAUUCCUUCCCAUUUUCCCUCCUCUGUUUUUGAUGCUUUUUAUUUUGGUUAGCAUGUUUCUGAUCAGCAUGAAAACUGCGCAGGAGCUUUUCUGUCUUGCAGAGCUAGUUAAUGAGAUUGUUGCUGCCUUCAGAUUCUAUAAAGGACUUCUCCAAUAUUGGGUGAGAUUAAAGUCAAAAUCAAGAGAAUUUAUAUUUCAGUUGAAUCUAUGUAAGUCUGUUAAAAAAGUAAUGGGCUCAGGGUCAAACAUCAGUAAUUGACCCUCACUCUACAGAUUAUUAAUUGUAUGACUGUAUUUCUCAGUAUCCUCAUCUAUAAAACCAGGUUAGCAAAAACUGCCUUCCUACUUCAAAAGGCACAAAUAAAAACUAAACUAAAAGCCAUACAAAACAAAGUGGAUAGCUCAUUUGCUUUACUUGGAAUGACAAUUCAACAUAGUAUUUUAAAUUCCUGUCUUUUAAAACAGUGAUUUCACACAUAUUGGCUCAUUAAAUUCUUCGUAUUAUCAAGAGUUGCUUAAUACAUUUGAGAACACAAAACAAUGGCCUUUUCUGUGCCUUUUUUAGGUGGUAAUUAUUCUUUAGUAAAGUCGGGUUGUUUUAAUUGAAAAUGAAUUUAGGUUUUUAAUCAGGAUUAGCACAAGUCGAUGUGUUCUCAGUUGUUGAAAGUUAAACUAGUAUUGCUAUAUUUCAAUGAUUGCUAGAAUAAAGAAAUAAAAAAAAAAUAGACAUGUUGAGUAAAGCUUUAUGAGUUAUAUAAAUGCAUAAUUAUAUUUGCAUAGGUAAACAAUACAUUUUUUUUCUAUUUUUGCUAAGUAAUAAGUUAGUUAAUAUAUUAUGUAAGAAUGAAAAUGAUUCAAAUAUUUGCCUGUUUCU